CGCAGAGUGACCGCCUACCAGGGCGGGUAAUGCGGCAAGCCGGUCACAAGCCCGG
rfam:Desulfosporosinus sp. I2 contig00035, whole genome shotgun sequence.